rnacentral:lncRNA from 1 species
AGCACACACACCGUAGAUUUUGGAUGGAAUAUGUAUAUAUAAAAUAUAGAUUGUGCUUUACGAGGUCUAUAUUAUAUAUAAUGAUAUCUAAUUACAUAUUUUAAAAUAUAUCAAUUGGCUUAUAUAUUUUAUUAUAUGUACUAGAUGAUAAUUAUAUAUAUUAUGCCUAUAAUUAUACAUCUGUUUAUAUUCUAGCAUUAUACAGAUUUUGGAAUUAUUUAUGUAUAAUUAUAUACGAGCACACAAAAUUCAUAAUUCCUGCUGUUGGGAAAGCCCCCCCCCAUAUCCAGGGAAAAUCCUUCCAAGGAAAAUCCCCUCCCCAGCAGCUCCUUCCCGGCGAACAGCCCAUCAUACCCGCGGCCUCUGCCCCCCAAAAUUCCCGCUGGAAUUGCACCCGGAGCGGCGCUGGGGCUCUUUUAUUGUGACACAUUCGGAGUUACACCGGGAGCCGCGGGCCCUGGCUAAGGAGGGGUUAAAAGGAGACGGAGCCGGGGGGGUCCCGGGGGGUCCUGGGGUGUCCUGGGGUGUCUCAGGGUAUUCAGGGGUGUCCCUGGAUGUCCCAGGGUGUCCCAGGGGUGUCUCAGGGUGUCCCUGGGUGUCCUAGAGGUGUCCCAGGGGUGUCUCAGUGUGUCCAGGGGUGUCCUAGAGGUGUCCUGGGGUGUCCUAGAUGUGUCCUGGUGGUGUCUCAGGGUGUCUCAGGGUGUCCCUGGGUGUCCUAGAGGUGUCCCAGAGGUGUCCCAGGGGUGUCCCCAGGGUGUCCGGGCUCCCGCCCCGCUGGAAGACGCCGGUGCUGGCAGUGUCCCCUCGCAUUCCCGAGGGAUUCGCUGUCAUGGGCUCAGAUCCAGGUGUGGAAUAAGCCAUAAAAAGCAGGGAAGAACCCAAAGUGGUGUUUCCCAAAGGGAGCUGAUGACACCCCAGGGUGGGGAAAAGGGAAGGAGCUGAGCCGUGCCCAGGCUGGAAGGUUUGGGACAUGGUGACACCACCUGGCCUUGUCCCCUGGCUGUUCCCCGGCCAGCUCAGGGACCCACCCUCCAGGAGAGACACCCAAAACUUCCCACCAGCACCUUUUGCUGCAACCUGGUCCUCAUUAUUCCUUAAUUAACAUAGCCAAGAAAUCAAUUAGGUGCGACAUUUCUAAUUAAAUACUCCGGGAGAUGAUCGCCUGGUUAUUAUUCUGUGCCGAGGUGAACGGCUCGAUGGUUGCGGUGCUCCCGUUCCCGUUCCCGUUCCCGUUCCCGUUCCCGUUCCCAUUCCCUGCCCUCCCCAGUUACAGGAAAUUGGGAAUGCAAAUGCUCCGAGUUGUUCCCGCAAGCCCAAGGCUCUGUUUUGUGCACGAGGAGAUUAAUUAGUGAUUAGUGAAUGUGCAGAACGUUAUCAUUAGCUGUGCACCGUUCGCUGUCCUAACGCGGCACCGCUGGCCCGGCUCCCUGCCCCGGCCCCAGCGCCGCUGGAACGCUGAGCGGGAC